rnacentral:rRNA from 1 species
GACGAACGCUGGCGGCGUGCUUAACACAUGCAAGUCGAACGCUGAACCCGCUUCGGUGGGGGAUGAGUGGCGAACGGGUGAGUAACACGUGGGCAACCUGCCCCCGGCUCUGGGAUAACUCCAAGAAAUUGGGGCUAAUACCGGAUGUGACCGCUGGCCGCAUGGUCUGGUGGUGGAAAGGGUUUCCGGCUGGGGAUGGGCCCGCGGCCUAUCAGCUUGUUGGUGGGGUAGUGGCCUACCAAGGCGACGACGGGUAGCCGGCCUGAGAGGGUGACCGGCCACACUGGGACUGAGACACGGCCCAGACUCCGACGGGAGGCAGCAGUGGGGAAUAUUGCGCAAUGGGCGGAAGCCUGACGCAGCGACGCCGCGUGGGGAUGACGGCCUUCGGGUUGUAAACCUCUUUCAGCAGGGACGAAGCGCAAGUGACGGUACCUGCAGAAGAAGCACCGGCCAACUACGUG